GGUGAGUAAUGUCUGGGAAACUGCCUGAUGGAGGGGGAUAACUACUGGAAACGGUAGCUAAUACCGCAUAACGUCGCAAGACCAAAGAGGGGGACCUUCGGGCCUCUUGCCAUCGGAUGUGCCCAGAUGGGAUUAGCUAGUAGGUGGGGUAACGGCUCACCUAGGCGACGAUCCCUAGCUGGUCUGAGAGGAUGACCAGCCACACUGGAACUGAGACACGGUCCAGACUCCUACGGGAGGCAGCAGUGGGGAAUAUUGCACAAUGGGCGCAAGCCUGAUGCAGCCAUGCCGCGUGUAUGAAGAAGGCCUUCGGGUUGUAAAGUACUUUCAGCGGGGAGGAAGGGAGUAAAGUUAAUACCUUUGCUCAUUGACGUUACCCGCAGAAGAAGCACCGGCUAACUCCGUGCCAGCAGCCGCGGUAAUACGGAGGGUGCAAGCGUUAAUCGGAAUUACUGGGCGUAAAGCGCACGCAGGCGGUUUGUUAAGUCAGAUGUGAAAUCCCCGGGCUCAACCUGGGAACUGCAUCUGAUACUGGCAAGCUUGAGUCUCGUAGAGGGGGGUAGAAUUCCAGGUGUAGCGGUGAAAUGCGUAGAGAUCUGGAGGA
rnacentral:rRNA from 1 species